rnacentral:rRNA from 1 species
UACGAAGGGGGCUAGCGUUGCUCGGAAUCACUGGGCGUAAAGCGCACGUAGGCGGAUUCUUAAGUCGGUGGUGAAAGCCUGGAGCUCAACUCCAGAACUGCCUUCGAUACUGAGAGUCUUGAGUCCGGGAGAGGUGAGUGGAACUGCGAGUGUAGAGGUGAAAUUCGUAGAUAUUCGCAAGAACACCAGUGGCGAAGGCGGCUCACUGGCCCGGUACUGACGCUGAGGUGCGAAAGCGUGGGGAGCAAACGGG